AUCCUCUUCCAGUUCUUAAGUAUUAUGAUCGGGUAUUCACACACUUCUGUGACAUGUGCCCCUCUUAAAUCUUGUUACAAAUUUGACACAACACCCAUGUGAUG